AGGGUUAUAUAUUGGGGUGUAGUAUAGAGGAGAGGGUUAUAUAUUGGGGUGUAUAGAGGAGAGGGUUAUAUAUUGGGGUGUAGUAUAGAGGAGAGGGGUUAUAUAUUGGGGUGUAGUAUAGAGGAGAGGGUUAUAUAUUGGGGUGUAGUAUAGAGGAGAGGGUUAUAUAUUGGGGUGUAUAGAGGAGAGGGUUAUAUAUUGGGGUGUAUAGAGGAGAGGGUUAUAUAUUGGGGUGUAUAGAGGAGAGGGUUAUAUAUUGGGGUGUAUAGAGGAGAGGGGUUAUAUAUUGGGGUGUAUAGAGGAGAGGGGUUAUAUAUUGGGGUGUAGUAUAGAGGAGAGGGUUAUAUAUUGGGGUGUAUAGAGGAGAGGGUUAUAUAUUGGGGUGUAUAGAGGAGAGGGUUAUAUAUUGGGGUGUAUAGAGGAGAGGGUUAUAUAUUGGGGUGUAUAGAGGAGAGGGUUAUAUAUUGGGGUGUAUAGAGGAGAGGGUUAUAUAUUGGGUGUAGUAUAGAGGAGAGGGGUUAUAUAUUGGGGUGUAUAGAGGAGAGGGUUAUAUAUUGGGGUGUAUAGAGGAGAGGGUUAUAUAUUGGGGUGUAGUAUAGAGGAGAGGGUUAUAUAUUGGGGUGUAUAGAGGAGAGGGUUAUAUAUUGGGGUGUAUAGAGGAGAGGGUUAUAUAUUGGGGUGUGUAUAGAGGAGAGGGUUAUAUAUUGGGGUGUAUAGAGGAGAGGGUUAUAUAUUGGGGUGUAUAGAGGAGAGGGUUAUAUAUUGGGGUGUAUAGAGGAGAGGGUUAUAUAUUGGGGUGUAUAGAGGAGAGGGUUAUAUAUUGGGGUGUAUAGAGGAGAGGGUUAUAUAUUGGGGUGUAUAGAGGAGAGGGUUAUAUAUUGGGGUGUAUAGAGGAGAGGGUUAUAUAUUGGGGUGUAUAGAGGAGAGGGUUAUAUAUUGGGGUGUAGUAUAGAGGAGAGGGUUAUAUAUUGGGGUAGUAUAGAGGAGAGGGUUAUAUAUUGGGGUGUAUAGAGGAGAGGGUUAUAUAUUGGGGUGUAUAGAGGAGAGGGUUAUAUAUUGGGGUGUAGUAUAGAGGAGAGGGUUAUAUAUUGGGGUGUAUAGAGGAGAGGGUUAUAUAUUGGGGUGUAGUAUAGAGGAGAGGGUUAUAUAUUGGGGUGUAUAGAGGAGAGGGGUUAUAUAUUGGGGUGUAGUAUAGAGGAGAGGGUUAUAUAUUGGGGUGUAUAGAGGAGAGGGUUAUAUAUUGGGGUGUAGUAUAGAGGAGAUGGUUAUAUAUUGGGGUGUAGUAUAGAGGAGGGGGUUAUAUAUUGGGGUGUAUAGAGGAGAGGGUUAUAUAUUGG